UUACUGAGUGGAGGGCCUCCGGGUCCGACCUCCAACCCUUUUGUGAACCACCUCUGUUGCCUCGGGGGCGACCCCGCCGUUCGCGCGGCGGCGGCGCCCCCGGUGGCCCAAUCAAAACCUCGCGUAACUUUAGUGUCGGAGUAUUGAAUAAAUCAAUCAAAACUUUCAACAACGGAUCUCUUGGUUCUGGCAUCGAUGAAGAACGCAGCGAAAUGCGAUAAGUAAUGUGAAUUGCAGAAUUCAGUGAAUCAUCGAAUCUUUGAACGCACAUUGCGCCCCUUGGUAUUCCGGGGGGCAUGCCUGUUCGAGCGUCAUUUCACCACUCAAGCCUGGCUUGGUAUUGGGCGCCGCGGGACUCCCGCGCGCCUUAAAGUCUUUUUUUCCGGCUGAGCGACCCGUCUCUAAGCGUUGUGGCAACUAUUCGCGGCGAGAUCGGGGGGCGGCGGCCGUUAAAUCAUUUCAUUCAGGUUGACCUCGGAUCAGGUAGGGAUACCCGCUGAACUUAAGCAUAUCAAUAAGCGGAGGAAAAGAAACCAACAGGGAUUGCCCUAGUAACGGCGAGUGAAGCGGCAACAGCUC
rnacentral:rRNA from 1 species